CACCUUGAGCCUUUAAUAACUAUGUCGAUAUUAGAAUAUGAGUCUUGUCAGUUUGCUAAGUGUCAUCGUUUACCUUCUGUGCCUAGAGUCAAUAAAUGGGCUUCAUCCCCUUUUGAAUUAGUUCAUUUUGAUAUUUGGGGUUCUUGUUGUAUUACUUCUAAAAUUGGAUUUAGAUAUUUUGUUACUUUCAUGAAUGAUUACUCUCGUGUUACAUAGUUAUAUUUAAUGAAUAAUUAUUCUGAGUUAUUUUCCACAUUCUAUGCUUUAUGUACUAAAAUUAAAACCCAGUUUAAUAUUUUUGUGCGUAUGUUGAGUUAUAAUGCCAAAGAGUAUUUUUCAACAAAACUUUGUCUUAUAUGACACAAAAUAGCAUUCAAUUCUCUUGUUUUGAUACACCAUCACAAAAUGGUGUUACUAAAAGAAAAAUCGGCAUUUACUUAAGGUAGCUAGAGCCCUUCUUUUCCAAAUGAAAGUUCUUAAAUAAUUUUGGGUUGAUGCAGUUUCUACAGCAUAUUUUCUUAUCAAUCGUAUGUCAUCUUCUAUUCUUAAUGGGGAGAUUCCUCAUACGGUUUUGUUUUCUUCUAAAUCUUUAUUUCCUAUUAACUUUGUAUUUUUUGUUGUACUUAUUUUGUG
rnacentral:misc_RNA from 1 species